rnacentral:rRNA from 1 species
CAAUAGCGUAUAUUAAAGUUGUUGCGGUUAAAAAGCUCGUAGUUGGAUUUCUGCUGAGAACGACCGGUCCGCCCUUUGGGUGUGUAUCUGGCUCUUUCUUGGCAUCUUCUUGGUGAACGUUGCUGCACUUGACUGUGUGGAGCGCUACCCAGGACUUUUACUUUGAGGAAAUUAGAGUGUUCACGGCAGGCAGUCGCCUUGAAUAUAUUAGCAUGGAAUAAUAAUAUAGGACCUUGGUUCUAUUUUGUUGGUUUCUAGAACUUAGGUAAUGAUUAAUAGGGACAAUUGGGGGCAUUUGUAUUAACACGUCAGAGGUGGAAUUCUUGGAUUGUGUUACGACAAACUACUGCGAAAGCAUUUGCCAAGGAUGUUUNCAUUG